AUGGUGAAUCCGAUGGCUGAAGAAUGGAUCCGGGUGAAAACCGAAGGAAGGGAUGACGGUGGUAAAUCAAUGACUAACGGCGGUGAAUCAAUGAAAACCAAAGGAAGCAGAGGAAGAUUUAACGGCGGUGAAUCAGUUGGGAGAAUAGUGUUUUUGUUUUUGGCGGUGAGUGGAUGCGGUGAGUGGAUGCGGGAAGAUAGUGUUUUGUUUUGGCGGGUUAUAUUUGGACGAGUUACCCGAGAUCCACCCGAGAACUGGUCCAGUGGAACCAGACUAAUGGACCAGCCGAAAUUCUACUUGGUCGGGAAUGGAUAA